AGUGUCCUACGGGGGGCAGCAGUGAGGAAUAUUGGUCAAUGGGCGGAAGCCUGAACCAGCCAAGUCGCGUGAGGGAAUAAGGCCCUACGGGUCGUAAACCUCUUUUGCCGGGGAGCAAGGGCCGGGACGCGUCCCGGCCCGGAGAGUACCCGGAGAAAAAGCAUCGGCUAACUCCGUGCCAGCAGCCGCGGUAAUACGGAGGAUGCGAGCGUUAUCCGGAAUUAUUGGGCGUAAAGAGGGAGCAGGCGGCAGCAAAGGUCUGUGGUGAAAGACUGAAGCUUAACUUCAGUAAGCCAUAGAAACCA
rnacentral:rRNA from 1 species